rnacentral:rRNA from 1 species
CAUACGGCUCAGUAACAUGUGGUUAACCUACCCUCAGGUGGGGGACACCCUCGGGAAACUGAGGCUGAUCCCACAUAGAUGAUGGAUCCUGGAAUGGUUCUUCAUCCAAACGGUAUGCGGCUCAUGCGUCGCGUGCCGCCUGAGGAUGGGACCGCACCCUAUCAGGUAGUUGGUGGGGUAAUGGCCCACCAAGCCUAUAACGGGUACGGGCCCUGAGAGGGGGAGCCCGGAGAUGGGCACUGAGACAAGGGCCCAGGCCCUACGGGGCGCAGCAGGCGCGAAACCUCUGCAAUGCGCGAAAGCGCGACAGGGCCACCCCGAGUGCUAGGCGCUGAGUCUAGCUUUUCCCUAGUGUAGUGAGCUAGGGGAAUAAGCGGGGGGCAAGCCUGGUGUCAGCCGCCGCGGUAAUACCAGCUCCGCGAGUGGUCGGGACGAUUAUUGGGCCUAAAGCGUUCGUAGCCGGCCUAUCAAGUCUCUGGUUAAAUUUCAAGGCUUAACCUUGAGCGUGCUGGAGAUACUGUUAGGCUAGGGGGCGGGAGAGGUUGAGGGUACUUCGCGGGUAGGGGCGAAAUCCUAUAAUCCGCGAAGGACCACCAGUGGCGAAGGCGCUCAACUGGAACGCGCCCGACGGUGAGGGACGAAAGCCAGGGGAACAAAGG